GAUGAAGAACGUAGCGAAAUGCGAUAAGUAAUGUGAAUUGCAGAAUUCAGUGAAUCAUCGAAUCUUUGAACGCACCUUGCGCCCUUUGGCCAUUCCGAAGGGCAUGCCUGUUUGAGUAUCAUGAACAACUCAACUCUUUAUGGUUUUCCAUGAUGAGCUUGGACUCUGGGGGUUUUGCUGGCUCACAGUCGGCUCCUCUAAAAUAAAUCAGCUUACCAGUGUUUGGUGGGUAUCAUGGGUGUGAUAACUAUCUACGCUUGUGGUUUUUCCACCAGGUAACCUUCAGCAGUGGAGGUUCGCUGGAGCUCAUAGAUGUCUCUCCUCAGUGAGGACAGCCCUUUGAACGUUUGAUCUCAAAUCAGGUAGGACUACCCGCUGAACUUAAGCAUAUCAAUAAGCGGAGGA
rnacentral:misc_RNA from 1 species